ACGUCCGUGAGGCUUCCCGGGCCCGGCGGAGUCUGUGGGGCACUGGGGCGCUGGGCGGUGCGCAGGCUGGAGCGCUGGGUCGUGAGGGAUAAACUGGGAAACCCGGCGUGGGUCCAAGCGCCUUCUCUGAGGCAUCCGGCGCGGCCCGGACGUGUUUCCACCUGAAACCACAGCCUCCAGGCCGGCCCUUAACAGGGCUGUAUAAAUAGUCUAGCGAGGGUCCGUGGGCCCCGUCCCUGUCCCGGGGUCUUGACUGGGAAGGCGCUCGGGCCCCGCGGGGAGUGUCUAGGGAGUGCACCCUCGGCGGGCGCGCGCCUCUGCCUCCCUGGGCAGCGCCUGCCCCCUCCUGCCCAGUCGGCUUAGCAAAGUCGGCCAAAACUAAAACAAACUUGGAACGCUAAUAGACACUGUUAUUGCCCACUCUGAACUCACCAACUGAGAGGGAAUGAGAUGGUUUGUGCUGUGAAUAGACUACAGUUGUGCUCUGUUGUAAAUCCCCUCAUCCUGUAGCAGCUGAGCAAGGUCUGAGGCAGGAGGAACCUUCAAGCAGGUCAUGGCUUGCAGGCUCAACUCUCCCUGGCAGUGGCAAGGGCAAGGGUCAGGACCAGUGACUGAAGCAACAAACUGCUAGAUUACUACAGCUCAAGCCAAUGCACAAAGCCACUGCACCACGAGAGGAAACUCUUCCAUUUCCAAGUGUGUUCAUUUCUUCAGAUCGAGGAAAACAGUUAAGGCAGUUUGCUGACAUUUUCUUUCACCAAGUCAUCAGGAGUCACAUAGACAUACAGCACUUAAGAAGUGACUAUGACUGAAGGCACAUCUCCUUUAUUUAAUCCCAACCUUUGUCUGAUACACAAACUCUUUCCUAGUUCUCCCCAGCACCACCACUGCAUCUCCAAGUGGAGACAAAGAAUUAUUUCAUUUGCAUGUGGUUUUUCUCAUCAAAAAAUAUCAUUAACAUGCGACAGCCGCAAACCAAAGAAACCAGAAGAGGACUUUGUGCUUGGUCUCACUGAGAGCUUUCCCUAAUAGACCAGACCCUAUCAUUGUUCUAGAUUUGUCUCUUGUGAGUUACAGGAAUACAAACAUUUUGUAGCUUUCUGUUUUUUGUUUUCUUAAUGGCUUGAUGAGCUACAUGUUUCUCUGAAUGCACUGAUUUAAAUUCAUACAA